GUGCUUGCUUCGGCAGCACACAUACUAAAAUUGGAAUUAUAUAGAGAAGAUUAGCAUGGCCCCUGUGCAAGGAUGACCCGCAAAUUUGUGAAGCGUUCCAUAUUUUU
ensembl:snRNA U6 U6 spliceosomal RNA